AUCCAGCUAUUAAAGAGAACAAAAGUAUUUGGGCUAACCAGAGGGAUUCUUCAUUGCUCUUGCUGCACGGACAGAAUUCCGGUGAAGCACCAGAGGAAUACCAGAUUUUGGUUGUAGCUGGAGAAUCUGUAUUUUUAUAUCUUCUGAACAACUCAGUGAAACAGUUUGCAGUGGAAGCAAGAGUGACUCUGGGACCAGAUUGCUGAGUUUGGACUCAGACAUACUUGGUUCAAAUCUCCAUAUGGAGAUAAAGUUCAUUGCCUUGAGUAGACAGAUGCUGCACCAACAGAGCUGUAUGUGGCAACUCACUUCAGUCUCCAGGGAAUGACAGAGAACCAUCCAUCUACAGCACCAGUGGGCCCUGAUCAUGUGACUGGCAGCUCCUGUCACCCCAUCAAUGUUCCUCAGCCAUUGCUAAAGUAAUUUAGGGAAACACUUUAUCUUAUGCCACUACACUCCAGUUUUCUUUCUCCCGCCCGCCCCAUGGAAUGAGCAAAGUCAAAGUUCAAAUUACAUUUUUCUUCCAGCCUUC